AGAGUUUGAUCAUGGCUCAGAUUGAACGCUGGCGGCAUGCCUAACACAUGCAAGUCGAACGGUAACAGGCCGCAAGGUGCUGACGAGUGGCGGACGGGUGAGUAAUACGUAGGUAUCUGCCCUGUAGUGGGGGAUAACCCGGGGAAACUCGGGCUAAUACCGCAUACGCUCUUUUAUCGUUGAGAUAGGAGAGGAAAGCGAGGGACCGAAAGGCCUCGCGCUAGAGGAUGAGCCUACGCCCGAUUAGCUAGUUGGUAGGGUAAAAGCCUACCAAGGCGACGAUCGGUAGCUGGUCUGAGAGGAUGGCCAGCCACACUGGGACUGAGACACGGCCCAGACUCCUACGGGAGGCAGCAGUGGGGAAUAUUGGACAAUGGGGGAAACCCUGAUCCAGCGAUGCCGCGUGGGUGAAGAAGGCCUGCGGGUUGUAAAGCCCUUUCAGUGGGGAAGAAAAACGGGGUGUGAAAAGCGCUUCGUCUUGACGUUACCCACAGAAGAAGCACCGGCUAACUCCGUGCCAGCAGCCGCGGUAAUACGGAGGGUGCGAGCGUUAAUCGGAAUUACUGGGCGUAAAGGGCGCGUAGGCGGUUAGGUAAGUCGAGUGUGAAAGCCCUGGGCUUAACCUGGGAAUGGCAUUCGAGACUACCUAUCUAGAGUCUGGUAGAGGGAAGUGGAAUUUCCGGUGUAGCGGUGAAAUGUGUAGAUAUCGGAAGGAACACCAGUGGCGAAGGCGACUUCCUGGACCAAGACUGACGCUGAGGCGCGAAAGCGUGGGGAUCAAACAGGAUUAGAUACCCUAGUAGUCC
rnacentral:rRNA from 2 species